GAACAGUUGGAGGAUGCCUUAAUCAGGGCAGAUCUAGUGCGCUGUCAAGAUCAAGGUAACCUCAUGCUUCAUAAUUCUAUGCGGCGGAGGUGACAUCGUAAAUUCGAAUUUGGAGCAGUUUUAGACGCAGGGUGGCCAGAUCUUUCGCCCCCAAUUAGCAGUUUUUUCACUGCUCAAAAAAAUGGUUUUCAAUCGAAAAGCUACUUUAUUAGCGAAGAUUUGAAUCACGAACAGGAAGAAAAAGGGCAGGCAGGUUUACUUAUUGAAAUCGGUGGUGGCCGUCGUCGACGACUCUCUCUCUCUUGCUGUCUUUGUUUCAACCGAUCGGAUCGAUAGCGGCUUCCGUCGUUUUCGGCGCUUUCCGGCGAGAAAUCCGGCCAGAUUGGAUUCGCCAACGAAUCCCCUUACUCUAAGCUGCAAUAUGGUUCGAUGAGGUGAGAUGCAGCGAUCACGCAGAGCUCUUCUCGAGAGAAGAAAGGCCCUGCAGAAAAUCAUUCUGCAGAGAAAGAGAUUGUUCAGACUCUCUCUAUCCGUGGUUCUCCUUUUGUGGGGUUUCAUAUUUCUUCUCAGCUCCUGGAUAGGCAGGGGUAACGGAUACAGGGAAGUAGAAGAUGAUUCUGCGUCCAAGCAGAAUGGUUCCAUGUUUACCCAGGCUUCACUAUUUCUUAGUUCGGUCAAACUAGAUAGAAUGGCAUUGUCAUUACAGGUUGAUGCCUUUGGUCACGAAGUUACGAAGACUGUUACUUCAGAUAGGUUGGAAUUCUUGAUCGCAGAUUCCUCCUCUGCCAAAUGGGGAUUUUCUUCUAGUUAUGUCCAAGAAGAUGCAAAUACAUUAAAUUCAAGUAUGGGGCACAGUUCAGGGUCGCUGGUGGCAGAUUCCUGCAACGCUGAAUGGGUUUCUAAUCAAACGGGGAUUGCACUGGGAGAAAUGGUUGAAGAAACAAACUCUCUUGUGACUGCUACAAAUGGACAAACUGAAGAAGUUACACAUUUUGCACCAGAAUCUAAAUAUGGGCCCGAGAAUGUAAAACAGGGAGCUCAAAAGAAUGAGAGGUUGUUCCGUGCUACAGAACUUCAUCUGGAUGAAUUCAGAACUAAAGCCACUAGUUCCAAGAUCAGAUCUGGGAGAGGUCAGCCUGGGGGAAUCAUCCACAGGCUGGAGCCUGGUGGUAAGGAGUUCAAUUAUGCUGCUGCAUCGAAGGGAGCUAAGGUUUUGGAGUAUAAUAAAGAAGCCAAAGGUGCCUCCAACAUCUUAGACAAAGACAGGGAUAAAUACCUUAGGAACCCAUGUUCCACAGAGCAAAAGUUUGUCGUUGUUGAACUCUCUGAGGAGACCUUGGUUGACACAAUAGAAAUAGCAAAUUUCGAACGUUAUUCUUCAAAAUUGAAAGAUUUUGAACUGCUUAGUAGUUUGGUUUAUCCCGCAGAGAGCUGGACCUACCUGGGUAAGUUCCGUGCUGAAAAUGUGAAGCAUGCACAAAGAUUUGUUCUUCAGGAACCAAAAUGGGCUCGGUACUUGAAACUAAAUUUGCUCACCCAUUAUGGUUCGGAGUUCUACUGUACUCUGAGCGUCAUUGAAGUGUAUGGGGUGGAUGCUAUCGAAAAGAUGCUGGAAGAUUUGAUGCCUUUUGAAGAUAAGGGAAUAAAAUUGGAGGAACAGCUAGUACACCAUGCAUCUAGUCAGGGGAAUACCAGAUUGGAAGGUAAAGAGGAGCUUGAUGGACUUCUAGACAGGGUGGAUCCUUUUUCUAAUCUGUUGAGUUCAUCUCAAGGAGUGUUUGAUUAUGAGUCCAGGCAAGACACCAAAUAUGAUUUUUCAAAAGGCAGUGCACCUGAGCCGGUAGCUGAAUUAAGACCAAAGAAUGGUGGAAGGAUGCCUGGAGAUACUGUCCUUAAGAUUCUAAUGCAGAAAGUCAGAUCCCUGGAUUUGAAUUUUUCUGUUUUAGAAAGAUAUAUUGAAGAGCUAAAUUCCAGAUAUGGAAACAUUCUCAAGGAUUUUGAUGAGGAAUUAUCCAAUAAAGCCUUGGUAGUGCAGCAUAUCAAAGCAACGAUAGGCAAGCUUCUAGACAACAAUGAUGUCAUUGCUAAAGAUGUCAAUGAGCUCAAAAUGUGGAAAUCUUCUCUGGAGCUUCAGAUGAAUAAGUUAGUUCUUGAUAAUGAAUUCCUAAGAUUGGAGAUAGGGAGACACCAAACUGACCUUGCCAACUUGGAAAAUAGAAGUUUUGUCAUUCUUCUGUUUAGUUUUGUAUGUGGAGUCUUAACCCUCCUCAAGGUAUCUGUAGGCCUUCUGGCAAGUUUUUGUAGGACACGAGAGUCUGCCAACCACUGCUGUACUUUGAGCACACCAUGGAUUUUGAUUUUCUUGUCUUCUUUUGUAAUCUCUGUCAUCUUGGUGUAGUUGCAUGUCAGAAAAUAUACUUUCGGCGGCACUGUACACAGUCAUCUGAGCAAGCUGUGGCCCCGAAGGAGCUAAAUUUUGGAGUUAUAACGGCUUGGACUCGAGUUGGAUCCACCGCCUGCGAAUCCGGUGGUUGGACCUGUGUAAUUGGAUUUGGAUUUGAAGUCAGAAUCUAUUUUUCACAACU